UACGUAGGUGGCAAGCGUUGUCCGGAUUUACUGGGCGUAAAGAGCGCGCAGGCGGUCGUGCAAGUCGCGUGUGAAAGCCCCCGGCUCAACUGGGGAGGGUCACGCGAUACUGCUCGACUCGAAGGCAGGAGAGGGAAGUGGAAUUCCCGGUGUAGUGGGUGAAAUGCGUAGAUAUCGGGAGGAACACCAGUGGCGAAGGCG
rnacentral:rRNA from 1 species